rnacentral:lncRNA from 1 species
UACAAAAUUCAAUCUUCUGCUUUUGUUUUGAUGUUACAACAUUCAAUUUUCUGUUCUUGUUUUUCUAAGGACACCUAUGGAGUGUUCUUGUUUUCAAGACUCUGAAAGCUGACCCUAGAAGAAUCGAAUAGUUAGGAUCCUCUCCAAAGAAGUUAUUGCAGACACUCCUAGAUGCAGGUAAACUCUUGGCUGCUUAAUGGGACUACUGAUAUGGGAGAAAGAAACUGUCAUUCAUCAGUACAAUGAUUCCUACCUUGUGGAUAUGAUUCCUCCUUUCCAUCAAGACUGUCCUGGUGGUGGUGGAACCAAAUUCUUCCUUUUUCGGCUUUCUCUGCUGAUGUAAAAGAAAGCAUCUGUCCUUCAAUGGAAUUACCUGGAAAUGAAAUCAAGGGGCAGAGUCCAGUACCUCUAAAUCUACAUCAGAACUUUCCACAAGGUAACCUAAACGUUCGUUUAUUUUUAUUCUUACUUUUUCCUGAGUAAGAAAAUUGACAAGUCCUUUGGAGGUUGCUGCUGCUAGAAUCCUUAUCUAAUGUGGGAUAUGGGGCCUGACUCAAUGAUUCUUGAAAGGUCUUCAAACUGGUUUUGAGGAGUUAGUAGGCCACUUUGUAAUAGGAAGAAGCAUCUGACAUUUAGAAUCCUGCCCCCCAUGUGCAAACAAUAGAAGAGGAAAAGCUGUGUCCUCACUUGGGCUUCUGCUGUGCUAAUUACAGAAAUGUAAAGCCCAGCUGUGGUCAGACCAGCUCAUCAAGGAGAGAUGUGUUAGACCACGAAAGCAAAAGAAGGACCGAAAUGUUUUUCAUUUUUAUUCCUUGCGUAUUGUCUGUUAGAGCAUUCAGCUCUGCUUAAUUAUAAACUAU